rnacentral:rRNA from 1 species
UACGUAGGGUGCAAGCGUUGUCCGGAAUUAUUGGGCGUAAAGAGCUCGUAGGCGGUUUGUUGCGUCGGCUGUGAAAUCCCGAGGCUCAACCUCGGGUCUGCAGUCGAUACGAGCAAACUAGAGUGUUGCAGGGGAGACUGGAAUUCCUGGUGUAGCGGUGAAAUGCGCAGAUAUCAGGAAGAACACCCGUGGCGGAAGGCGGCUCUCUGGGACGGUACUGACGCUGAGACGCGAAAGCCGUGGGGAGCGAACAGGG